rnacentral:rRNA from 1 species
GUAGGUGGCAAGCGUUGUCCGGGAAUUAUUGGGCGUAAAGCGCGCGCAGGCGGUCCUUUAAGGUCUGAUGUGAAAGCCCACGGGCUCAACCGUGGAGGGUCAUUGGAAACUGGGGGACUUGAGUACAGAAGAGGAAAGCGGAAUUCCAAGUGUAGCGGUGAAAUGCGUAGAGAUUUGGAGGAACACCAGUGGCGAAGGCGGCUUUCUGGUCUGUAACUGACGCUGAGGCGCGAAAGCGUGGGGAGCACACAGGAUUAGAUACCCUGGUAGUCCACGCCGUAAACGAUGAGUGCUAAGUGUUAGGGGGUCUCCGCCCCUUAGUGCUGCAGCUAACGCAUUAAGCACUCCGCCUGGGGAGUACGGCCGCAAAGGCUG